CUAUGCUUCUCUCUCCUUCCCAUUACUGUUCUCUCUCCUCCUUCUGGACCUGCUGCUGGUUUCCUCAAACUAAGUCUUGGACCCUCUACUCUCAACCUGGGUCAGUUGUAGUUCUCUUCCAUUUCCUGACCUUCCCACCUAGACUCCCACUACUCACACUCCCCUGAGACCCUCCCCCACCCACACUCCCCUCAGACCCCCUCCCCUGGCUCUGGCUCAGCUCUGCCUUGCUCCUAGCCUGCCAGUGCAGCCACGAGGGGGCACUCAGCAGUCUCUGUGAAAAGACCAGUGGGCAAUGUCUCUGUCGAACUGGUGCCUUUGGGCUUCGCUGUGACCGCUGCCAGCGUGGCCAGUGGGGAUUCCCUAGCUGCCGGCCAUGUGUCUGCAAUGGGCAUGCAGAUGAGUGCAACACCCACACAGGCGCUUGCCUGGGCUGCCGUGAUCACACAGGGGGUGCAUUGCUGGUUUCCACGGGGACCCACGGCUGCCAUAUGGGGGCCAGUGCCGGCCCUGUCCCUGUCCUGAAGGCCCUGGGAGCCAACGGCACUUUGCUACUUCUUGCCACCAGGAUGAAUAUUCCCAGCAGAUUGUGUGCCACUGCCGGGCAGGCUAUACGGGGCUGCGAUGUGAAGCUUGUGCCCCUGGGCACUUUGGGGACCCAUCAAGGCCAGGUGGCCGGUGCCAACUGUGUGAGUGCAGUGGGAACAUUGACCCAAUGGAUCCUGAUGCCUG
rnacentral:lncRNA from 1 species